rnacentral:rRNA from 1 species
ACUCCUACGGGAGGCAGCAGUGGGGAAUAUUGCACAAUGGGCGCAAGCCUGAUGCAGCCAUGCCGCGUGUGUGAAGAAGGCCCUCGGGUUGUAAAGCACUUUCAGUCAGGAGGAAAGCGUGGUGGUUAAUACCCAUCAUGUGUGACGUUACUGACAGAAGAAGCACCGGCUAACUCCGUGCCAGCAGCCGCGGUAAUACGGAGGGUGCGAGCGUUAAUCGGAAUUACUGGGCGUAAAGCGUACGCAGGCGGUUUGUUAAGCGAGAUGUGAAAGCCCCGGGCUCAACCUGGGAACUGCAUUUCGAACUGGCAAACUAGAGUGUGAUAGAGGGUGGUAGAAUUUCAGGUGUAGCGGUGAAAUGCGUAGAGAUCUGAAGGAAUACCNGNAUGGCGAAGGCAGCCACCUGGGUCAACACUGACGCUCAUGUACGAAAGCGUGGGGAGCAAACGGGAUUAGAUACCCCGGUAGUCCACGCCGUAAACGAUGUCUACUACAAGCUCGGAGCCUCGGCUCUGUUUUUCAAAGCUAACGCAUUAAGUAGACCGCCUGGGGAGUACGGCCGCANNAGGUNUAAAANCUCAAAUGAAUUGACGGGGGCCCGCACAAGCGGUGGAGCAUGUGGUUUAAUUCGAUGCAACGCGAAGAACCUUACCUACACUUGACAUACAGAGAACUUACCAGAGAUGGUUUGGUGCCUUCGGGAACUCUGAUACAGGUGCUGCAUGGCUGUCGUCAGCUCGUGUUGUGAGAUGUUGGGUUAAGUCCCGCAACGAGCGCAACCCCUAUCCUUAGUUGCUAGCAGGUAAUGCUGAGAACUCUAAGGAGACUGCCGGUGAUAAACCGGAGGAAGGUGGGGACGACGUCAAGUCAUCAUGGCCCUUACGUGUAGGGCUACACACGUGCUACAAUGGCGCAUACAGAGUGCUGCGAACUCGCGAGAGUAAGCGAAUCACUUAAAGUGCGUCGUAAUCCGGAUUGGAGUCUGCAACUCGAC